rnacentral:lncRNA from 13 species
GAGACCACCAGUCAGCAAGGGACCCUCCUUGAGGCUGACUGCAGUCCCACACCCUGGCAAGAAAGCUGAACCUCAAAGCCACACCGAACUCCAAGAAACACAGAAAACACAGUGUCCUGGGCAGGCUGACCCAGUGCAAGGCCAGGACUGCAGAGAAGAGGAGGCAGGUUUUGGUGGAGAGCUGAUCUCUGCUCCAAGGAACUUUAUACCCAUCAAUCCAUGCCAUCAUACCAGUAACCCUGAGACAAGCUCUAUCAGCGGCCCUGCUUUCCAGAUGAGGAAAUGGAGGCAGAUGUCAACUAAAGCGCAACUUGACUCAGCUAGCAAUGAAAUACUAAAAAGAUAGUAGAAGAAAGAAAGCUGGAAGCCACAGCAUCUCCUUAGGAGUUAGAAGUAGAAGAAAUGAAAGCUUCGAGAGGGAAGCCGAUGGCAGGAUCCCAGGUGAGCAAGGAGGGUGGAGGUGGAUGAAAAAUUGAAUACAGACAUGUCCAGUAGCAAGUGGAGUGGGCAGCCUGAGCCAGGAAUUCCCAAAAGGGUGAGGGAGUUGUACAGAAAUGAGUGAAGGGCCAGAACCCAGUCGCU